AGCUUUUUGAAUCCGUGCUGAGAUUUUGUCAGACACCAACCCAUUAGGGCUGACCAGACGACUUCCAAGAUAGGUGAAGUU
rnacentral:pre_miRNA from 1 species